ACAGCCUCACAGUGCUACCACUUCAUAUGCCAGCUGCUGGCACUGAUUCAGCAGUGGGUGGUUGCCUUCACAGGGCUGCUGCCGGAUGGCCUUUUACAAUUCAGCAUGAAUCAGAAGGGCAAACGGAUUCCUUCAAUCUCCCAUCCAAGCUGCGUGCAACAAGUUGUCCAAACCUGGCUUAUACAUGCAGCCAUAUUCCAGGUGGAGGCAGUGGCCAUCCAGUCAAGGAGAUCACUCAAGAUUCAGGUGUCUAGUCUGCACAUACUGUCUUUGGUUUCGGCGGCAUGAGGUUGAACCACAUCCUUUUGAGGCUUCAAACAUCUAGUCCCUCUUCAAAACAAUGCGAUAAAAGUUGAUCAUGCACACAGAUUAGUCACAUGUUAAUAGAAGAUCCGCUUACAAAGAAAGCUCAAGUUUUGUCAUUUCUAUGACAAAGAAAAGAAAAGGUUUUGCUUCUAUAUUUCAUUGUGUUCUAGUAGUGGUAGCCCAGCAAGUACUUUCCCAUGAGAUGUGAGACUGGAUAACCCAUUGGAUAAACAAUAGAGACCCUUUUUUAUCAGUGGUUUUGACAGAAUACAACUCAUAGCUUAGAAAAAAGAACAGAGUGCAUCAUCACAGCUUCCUAGUACAGCUCUGUCUUUUUUAGAAACUAAAAAGCAAAUUUUGGUCAGGAUCCAUAGGAUGUUUCAAAAUUCCAGACACAGUCUCAGUGAAACCACGGAGUUGCAUAGAACGCUGCACAUGCUUGUUCCUUCCAAAGUCCCCCUCCCCAAUGUUGUUGCAUAGAUGGACCACCACUUCAAACCUCAUUGCUGACUGGCUUAGCAAUUUGUUCCUCAUAUCAUAUGGCAAGUUUCUGAA